GUAAUUCGGACUCUAAGUGUUUGCACAAUCUAACCAGUGAAAACCAACUAAUGCUUCGUGCUUUGCUUUAAUAACAGAUGAAUAAUUGAACAGUAUUGAGCGAAGGGGUACUUCAGGAUUAACCAUACAUCACUGUCACCAAUAAGUAGUACAGUAUUGCCGUUUAUUCUGUUUAAACCUGACCUAUCAGCAUCAUUCUCUAAAAUCAAUUUUUUCAUGUUCAUGAAUCCUCUGUGGUGAGCCGCUUUAAAGCCAUUUUAAGACAAUCUUUAAUUUCUGCGGCAUCAACUUGUUCUCCGCCGCUGCUAGCUUCAGUAGUGCGAUUGAUAUUACCAACUAGCGGUACAUCCAAACCUAGUUUGUCAAGCUGCUCAUGUUUGGUCAAUGAAAGAUUUAAAAUAUGACCUUCAACAGUAUCUUCCACAAUGUAGUAGUAAACAAACGUCGGACGAGUUUGCCCAAUUCGAUGAACGCGUGAAAUUGCUUGCAU